rnacentral:rRNA from 1 species
GAUGAACGCUGGCGGCGUGCCUAAUACAUGCAAGUAGAACGCUGAAGGAGGAGCUUGCUCUUCUGGAUGAGUUGCGAACGGGUGAGUAACGCGUAGGUAACCUGCCUGGUAGCGGGGGAUAACUAUUGGAAACGAUAGCUAAUACCGCAUGACAACAGUUAUUGCAUGAUAACUGUUUAAAAGGGGCAACUGCUCCACUACCAGAUGGACCUGCGUUGUAUUAGCUAGUUGGUGAGGUAACGGCUCACCAAGGCGACGAUACAUAGCCGACCUGAGAGGGUGAUCGGCCACACUGGGAAUGAGACACGGCCCAGACUCCUACGGGAGGCAGCAGUAGUGAAUCUUCGGCAAUGGACGGAAGUCUGACCGAGCAACGCCGCGUGAGUGAAGAAGGUUUUCGGAUCGUAAAGCUCUGUUGUAAGAGAAGAACGAGUGUGAGAGUGGAAAGUUCACCCUGUGACGGUAUCUUACCAGAAAGGGACGGCUAACUACGUG